UACGUAGGUGGCAAGCGUUGCCUCGGAUUUACUGGGCGUAAAGAGCGCGCAGGCGGUCGUUCAAGUCGCGUGUGAAAGCCCCCGGCUCAACUGGGGAGGGUCAUUCAUACUGAUCGACUCGAAGGCAGGAGAGGGUAGUGGAAUUCCCGGUGUAGUGGUGAAAUGCGUAGAUAUCGGGAGGAACACCAGUGGCGAAGGCGACUACCUGGCCUGUUCUUGACGCUGAGGCGCGAAAGCUAGGGGAGCAAACGGGG
rnacentral:rRNA from 1 species